rnacentral:snRNA from 1 species
GUGCUUGCUUCAGCAGCACGUAUACUAAAAUUGGAAUGACACAGAGAAGAUUAGCAUGGCCCCUGCUCAAGGAUGACACGCAAAUUCAUAAAAUGCUCCAUAUUUUU